CGGAGGGUGCAAGCGUUGUUCGGAUUUACUGGGCGUAAAGCGCGCGCAGGUGGUGUACAAGUCGGAAGUGAAAUCCCAGGGCUCAACCCUGGGGCUGCUCCCGAAACUGUACGCCUAGGGACUGGUAGAGGCUGGUAGAAUUCCCGGUGUAGCGGUGGAAUGCGUAGAGAUCGGGAAGAAUACCCGUGGCGAAGGCGGCCAGCUGGGCCAGGUCCGACACUGAGGCGCGAAAGCGUGGGGAGCAAACAGGAUUAGAUACCCUGGUAGUCCACGCCGUAAACGAUGGGCACUAGGCGCUGGUGGGAGCGACCCCUUCAGUGCCGUAGCUAAUGCGAUAAGUGCCCCGCCUGGGGAGUACGGCCGCAAGGCUG
rnacentral:rRNA from 1 species